GAUGAAGAACGUAGCGAAAUGCGAUACGUAAUGUGAAUUGCAGAACUCAGUGAAUCAUCGAGUCUUUGAACGCACAUUGCGCCCUCUGGUAUUCCGGAGGGCAUGCCUGUCCGAGCGUCAUUGCUGCCCUCAAGCACGGCUUGUGUGUUGGGCCCCGCCCCCCGAUCCCGGGGGGCGGGCCCGAAAGGCAGCGGCGGCACCGCGUCCGGUCCUCGAGCGUAUGGGGCUUUGUCACCCGCUCUGUAGGCCCGGCCGGCGCUUGCCGAUCAACCAAACUUUUUUCCAGGUUGACCUCGGAUCAGGUAGGGAUACCCGCUGAACUUAAGCAUAUCAAUAAGCGGAGGA
rnacentral:misc_RNA from 1 species